UGCCAGCAAAUGAGGCGGUUGGUAGACUCCCAUCUCAAAGUACCAAUGCCCUCCUUGUGAGCAGAAGUACAGAGCUUGUAAAGGUUCUGACUCGUCCCAUCUUCCCCUAAGGCAAUCUCGUGACCUCCACCCAGACAAGUCCCUGGAGCCAUCUCCUGUGGCACAAAGAACAAAGGAUACUGUCCUGUCCCUCCUGACCACUGGUCUAAGGCAGGGAUGAAGGUUUCAGUUCUCAAAAACGGUGAGGGGGUUUUGAAGAGACAGAAGACCUUUUUGCCUUUUUUCAGGCCAUUUUCUCUGUUACAGUAUGAGCAGAAGCAGUUCAAGAGAAAGGAAGAAGUCACAGAGCAGGAGAAGAAGGAGAAUGCACCUUUGGAGAAUGGCAGAAAUCCAGGCAGAGUGCUAGGAUUACAGGCGUGAGCCACUGCACCCGGCCCCUCAUUUGCUCCUGAGAGCUCACUCCUUGGACACACACAGAGGCCCUUCAGUGUCUGCUCUGCAGUCCCCGCCGUAGCAGCAUGGAGUUCCUCUGCAUUCCCAGGAAACAAUGAAGAUCACUGGGCCACCCAGGGACACACUCUACCAGGAAAGGGCUGUGCUUCCGGCCCAACCUCUGUCUUCUCUUUACCUGCGUCUCGGCUUGGGCAGCUUUGACAGUCUAGCAGCAGCCAUCAAAGGGCCUGCACAGGACGGUCCCAGAUUCCACUGAGAAAGGGGACCUCGUGAAAAGCAGGUCAUUUAUUUUUGUAUGCCCCUUUGUCUUUGUCUCCUCCUGGCCUAUUGUCCCCAUCAGCCAACAUAAACCUGUGGGGAGGAGCAAAAGCUCCACGAGAUCCCUCUAGAUGUGUCACCAUGAGAUCCCUCUAGAUGUGAAAUGAUAGAGGCCUUGAAGUUUCUGCUUUUUGCUUUCAGGGGUGAAUGAAAACAAACAUGAUGGUUCAAGUAUGUGAGGGACGUUGUACCCGUCAGAGACCAUAACUCUGUAGUGUUUAUUAUAUUAGCAUCUAAAUGCAUGAGCAUUAAUGCAGGUUCUUGAUUUUGUUCUGUUCUGUUCUGUUUUUUAGACCUCUCAGCCUAAUGAGAGGUUUCCCUUCCUAAGUGGUAUCACUGCCUUUGCACAGCGCACAACUCUCCGAGCAGGAGGCCCCUUUUCCCCUGGACGGGCGCGGGACAUGCACCCGCACCAGACUGUGAGCCCGGUGGGGGUGGAGAGCAUCGUUCAGGUGGCUACAGAAGGUCACGAGGAACAACCAUCCUCCCAGACCCAGCGCCCUAAUGAGAUUCCUGUGACGCCUUAAUUCCCCGUUAAGCUUGCAUGAGAGACACUUUGAGAAACGGCGGAACUGACGGGAUUUGCAGGGCAGCUUUCUCUUUUUUGGCAGUAGUAAUUGUUUGGUUCUUCAUUUGUACUCAUUCAAGCCCAUGGACCCUCACAUACUUGUAAAAAACGUUUUCAAAUGGAAGUCAAUCAUGACUUCCUUCACGAGCACUCUAUUUCACUACAAUGUCAUCCUUUGCCCACUGGGGAUAGAGCUAUUUAAAAUCGUCAUUAUGAACCUGUUCUCUCCUGUCGUGUCAGAGCCGACCACCGCCACCGCGCACUGAACCCGUGGGCGGCACGGUGACCACGGUCGCUGAGACCCCGUUGAAUGGGCCAGCGGCCAUCCAUCCUGGGCACGCCUGUGGUCAUGAAGGCUGGCAGCAGUCAAUUACGGCCCAACCAAACAGCACACACGUGGCACUGAGCCACGUGGCACUGAGCCAGCCAUGCUGUGAGCAGAUACAGGGGGCUGGCGAGUGGUAUUGGCACAUUGUAAGGAGAAAGAGGGGGUAGAAAUGAGUAUUUAUUAAGCAUUCACCGUACACAUGGCACUGGGCUGGGCAUUUUGGAAAUACACAAAGAAGUUACAGGCCGUGGCUGCUGCCCCGGGAGCACGCAAGCUAGCGCAGGAGCCGAACGCCCCGGACACAGGCACCCGCAUACUCAGACACACGCACCGCCUCCCGGUGUUUCUUGGAAUAAAUGGCAAAACAAUGACUAUGACUACUGCUAAUAGCUAAUAUUUAUGGAGCAUUUUCCAUGUGCCAAGUACAGUCUUAAAUGCUUUAAAUAUUUUAACCCAUUUAAUCCUUUCAAUUUGAUUACACUGGCCCUGUUAUUACCCCCAUUUCGCAGUGUGGAAAGCCAGGAGGAGAGUUAAGCUGGUAAGCAGUAGAGCCAGGAUUUCAACCCAGGCAGUUUCGCUAUAGACCUGUGCCAUUAACCCUGUAGACUACACUGCCUUUGGUAUCUCAUGUAUACAUGAGACGUACGUUAUAAACCGGAUAGGCUUCGCUUUCUGAAUUCUUACUGUCUAAUAUCAGGAACUGAGUAAUGUGCAUGUGUGUGUGCAUUUAUGUUAACAUACUGCUCAGAGCCCUCACUAUCCAUAAUCCUAAUACUUGCUAUUUGAAACUCAGGAAUCAAAUAUAUUUAGAUGAUAUGGUAUCCCUUGAUACCCAAACUUACUAUCUAAACUCUCACCAUUCAAUCUCAGAAAUGGAAUAAUUUGGAGAGGAGUGAUGCUUGUAUGAGUCAAAUAAUUGGAGCAAAUAAUGAAUGUGAUAGGAGAUGGCAGUUGAAAUAAAGUCCUCGAGGAUAAAUAAUGUUAGGCCAAAGAUGAAGGAGAAGGCCAGAGUUUCUGAGACAUGCAGGCAGGGAGUAACAACUUGUGUUUGGAAUGAGACCUGAGAGCCUGUGUAUGGAGAAGGGCAAAGAGAAGGAGCCAGAGAGGGAGGCAGGGGCUGAGUUAUCAGGAUGUCAGUUGGGCUUUAUCUUGGAGACAAUGAUGUGUUACUGGGUAAUUUUAACCAGGUGAGUGACACGAUCAGAUUUGUAAAUUAAAAACAUCACUAUGACUUUGGUAUUUCAAAAGGUUCAAGCUGGGUGCUGUGCCUCGCGCCUGUAAUCCCACACUUUGGGAGGCCAAGGUGGGAGGAUUGCUUGAGGCCAGAAGUUCCAGACCAGCCU